rfam:Gossypium hirsutum cultivar TM-1 chromosome 11, whole genome shotgun sequence
AUGCCAUGAUGAGGGCACUUUAGUAAUAACUCAUUAAACCUCUCCCUUGCCUUAUAUAAAGAUUCUUUGUCAAGUUGCUGAAAUGGAGUGAUUUCAUUUCGGAGCUU